rnacentral:rRNA from 1 species
UUUUUCUAGCAAUAGAAGAGAUGGCGACCGGCGCACGGGUGAGUAACACGUAUCCAACCUACCGAUAACUCUGGAAUAGCCUUUCGAAAGAAAGAUUAAUACCGGAUAGUAUACGAAUAUCGCAUGAUAUUUUUAUUAAAGAAUUUCGGUUAUCGAUGGGGAUGCGUUCCAUUAGUUUGUUGGCGGGGUGACGGCCCACCAAGACUACGAUGGAUAGGGGUUCUGAGAGGAAGGUCCCCCACAUUGGAACUGAGACACGGUCCAAACUCCUACGGGAGGCAGCAGUGAGGAAUAUUGGUCAAUGGACGUAAGUCUGAACCAGCCAAGUAGCGUGAAGGAUGACUGCCCUAUGGGUUGUAAACUUCUUUUAUAUGGGAAUAAAGUAUUCCACGUGUGGGAUUUUGUAUGUACCAUAUGAAUAAGGAUCGGCUAACUCCGUGCCAGCAGCCGCGGUAAUACGGAGGAUCCGAGCGUUAUCCGGAUUUAUUGGGUUUAAAGGGAGCGUAGGUGGAUUGUUAAGUCAGUUGUGAAAGUUUGCGGCUCAACCGUAAAAUUGCAGUUGAAACUGGUAGUCUUGAGUACAGUAGAGGUGGGCGGAAUUCGUGGUGUAGCGGUGAAAUGCUUAGAUAUCACGAAGAACUCCGAUUGCGAAGGCAGCUCACUAGACUGUCACUGACACUGAUGCUCGAAAGUGUGGGUAUCAAACAGGAUUAGAUACCCUGGUAGUCCACACAGUAAACGAUGAAUACUCGCUGUUUGCGAUAUACAGUAAGCGGCCAAGCGAAAGCAUUAA